GCAAGUUAUCGGAAAUACUCCUGAACCUGAAGUGCUUUUACAGGAAGCGAGGCCUCGCCCUUGUUGGUUCCGCAGUGAGUUGUCAAGCUAACUUCGACUUCAUGGGGGCGACUAUGCUAUCGUUCAAUGGGCUUAUACAGGACGACGGUUACAUAUUUGGACUCAAACCUGUGGGUUAGACCAAGGGCCACCAGCGGAUGGGCACCCCAG
rnacentral:misc_RNA from 1 species